rnacentral:rRNA from 1 species
GUGAGGAAUAUUGCGCAAUGGAGGCAACUCUGACGCAGCCAUGCCGCGUGCAGGAAGAAGGCGCUACGCGUUGUAAACUGCUUUUAACCGGGAAGAAACCCUAGGACGUGUCCUUGGUUGACGGUACCGGAGGAAUAAGCACCGGCUAACUUCGUGCCAGCAGCCGCGGUAAUACGAAGGGUGCAAGCGUUAUCCGGAUUCAUUGGGUUUAAAGGGUGCGUAGGCGGAGCGUUAAGUCAGUGGUGAAAUCCUGCAGCUUAACUGUAGACUUGCCAUUGAUACUGGCGCUCUUGAGUGCGCUUGAAGUGGGCGGAAUGUGCCGUGUAGCGGUGAAAUGCUUAGAUAUGGCACAGAACACCAAUUGCGAAGGCAGCUCACUAAGGCGAUACUGACGCUGAGGCACGAAAGCGUGGGGAUCGAACAGGAUUAGAAACCCGUGUAGUCC